rnacentral:rRNA from 1 species
AUGGUUGGAGGGCCAACGGAGGACCAAUGGAGACUUACUGGGUUCUACGGUGAACCCAGAUGGGAGGAUAAACAUCUGACAUGGGGCUACUUAAGGGGUUUGCACCAGCAAGGGCAGAUUCCCUGGGUGGUCGUGGGAGAUUUUAACGAGAUCCUGUACUCUCAUGAGAAAGAAGGCGGAGCUCCCAGGCCAGUUAAUAUGAUGCAAAAUUUCAGAGAUGCACUGGUGGAGUGCGAGCUUGAAGAUAUGGGAUUUACAGGGGAUUAGUUCACUUGGCGCAGACGUAGGUUGAGGGAACGCCUAGACAGAGCAGUAUGCAAUGGGCCUUUUCAUGGGCUAUUCCCAGCUGCAAUGGUGAUCAAUGCGCCGCAUACAAAAUCUGAUCACCGUCCGGUGGUU